rnacentral:rRNA from 1 species
CAGGGUGGUGCAUGGUUGUCGUCAGCUCGUGUCGUGAGAUGUUGGGUUAAGUCCCGCAACGAGCGCAACCCUUAUUACUAGUUGCCAGCAUUCAGUUGGGCACUCUAGUGAGACUGCCGGUGACAAACCGGAGGAAGGUGGGGACGACGUCAAAUCAUCAUGCCCCUUAUGACCUGGGCUACACACGUGCUACAAUGGAUGGUACAACGAGUCGCGAAACCGCGAGGUUUAGCUAAUCUCUUAAAACCAUUCUCAGUUCGGACUGUAGGCUGCAACUCGCCUACACGAAGUCGGAAUCGCUAGUAAUCGCGGAUCAGCAUGCCGCGGUGAAUACGUUCCCGGGCCUUGUACACACCGCCCGUCACACCAUGAGAGUUUGUAACACCCAAAGCCGGUGGGGUAACCUUAGAGCUAGCC